GAAGGUCAGGGGUAAAGAGAGUCUGAUCUAUCAGUAUGUGAUUGUGAUUUCCUCAGUGUCACAUUUAAUGCAUAUUAAUCUGUUUUUCCACCCAAGGAUCCAUGACAAUCAAAGCGAUGAGCUCUGCACCUCUACACCUCUUCGUUCUCACUUUGCUGAAACGCUUCACCAAAAAUCUCAGCGCAGCCGCUAAAUCCUCCUACUGCAGAAGAGAGAAGUGAAAGAUUACUGCGUGUGGCUCAUUAAGAAUGUUUUAUUUUGUCUGCAAUUUUUUCCCCCGUCUAUUGUCUCUCCACCCUCUCAGCACAAGUCUCGGUGGAGUCACAGCCCUGGGUGCACCGCAUCGACGGAAUAAAUGCAGAAAAUGAACUGGAAGAAAACAGGGAGGCGAGAAAACCGCGCGGCUGGCCGAUGAUGGCCGAAAACUCAAAGGAGAGAUGGUUACACUGCAUCGCCAGCUUGCCUCAUCUGAAUCCCUGACUCCUGACCUCCCCUGAGGAAGGUGCUCACUGUCAGAAGAACCCCCGGCAUCCUACCGCCACAGAAAGGUGAUUCCUUUAAAGCGCCAGAAACGGAUGAAGGAGCGAGAGGGGGCUGCGCGAGGCAGGCAGACGGGGAGGGGAGCUGUCGCUUGUGUCAGGUUAACCUCAGAGACACAUCCGGAGCUCAGCAUCUGGGAGACGGAGGGGAGAGAGAGGCACCGUCGCUCCAUUUGGCGCAAGUGAGUUUUGCAUUAAGCAUCAUGCAAUGGCUUUCAUCAGCUUUUUCUUUCUCUCUCUCUUUCUUUCUUCUUUUCUCACCUCCACUCCCUCCCCCAGAAUAAAAAAAAAAAGGCUAAAACGCCAAACUUUGUGCACUGUCAGUCCCACGGGCUGUGCUUAUUCCCAGAUUUAUGUUAGUAGCGUUGCAGCGUUAAGUGUUAAAGAGAGAGAGAGAGGAAGAGAGAGAGCUUUGCAUGCAGAAAGGAAGGAGAUGAUACUGAUGUUUGUGCAGCAUAUGUGUUAAGUCACUCACACACACCACAAUAACACCUGAAAUUGCGGCAGCUGGUGCUGUUAAACAUGCAUUCUCUUGUUCCAGUUUCACCACAGCAGCAACAGAUAGCAACAAAAGUCCUGUAGAGGUCUUUAAGGUAACUGAUUAUAAUGUCUUCAACUUUUAGAAAUUAUAUUUUUUAUUGGAUAUUUUUAGUAAAAUUAAAUUUAUAAUAUGCACAAGUCCUGUAAAGUGACCUUCUGUGUAGGAGAAAAAUAAAGGCACUCUCUGGCAUUACUUGUUGACUGUGUGGACAUACAGUACGCUAUAAAUGAUCCUUUUUUUUUUUUCUGCAAGUCUUGAAUUUCUUAAGAUUUAUUUUCCAGUGUUUUUACUCUUGAUAACAAACCUCGUGAUUUGUGUGGAAAUGCAACAAAUCUCCCAGGUUUAGAAAAAAAAGGGUAAAUGAUUACAUAAAAAAAUAAAAAAUAAAAAAAAAUAACAGAUGGGCCUGCCUAAAAAAAUAUGAUUUUCUACAAAUGAUUGCAUUCUCUCCCCUUUGGUGUGAAAAGUAGACUCAAGAACACUUUUAAAUAAUUUGUUCAAUUUGUUCCACAGCCAAAGAAAAGCGGCUUGGUGGAAAUUCAGAUUCAUUAAAACUUAAUUAAUAUGCAUCAUUAUGUAAAUGAGGUUGCAGUUAAUGAGUUCUUAAAAGAAGCCUUCCUUAAUUAGUUCACUUUUUAAUGGCAUCAUCAUUUAUCUUUUUUCUUUGAAGCAGAAUGACGCGAGGACCUCGCCGUUCCCGAAAGUGCUAAAAUUUUCCAUUUUUUAAUUAUUCUUAUUUCCUUAAUUUUUAUAUGAUUAAGAAUGCAUUUAGGGAAGUAAAUAAAUGAGAAAAACUUAGACCUUUUUUUCCAGACUCACUUAUUUCCAUUAAAACAGAGUCUCUCUAGAUGCCGGAGUGUUUAAAAAGUUAAAGGGAAAGCAUCUUCUUACAAAACAAUCAAGGCUGUCUCACAAUUACCUCCCUGGCUUUUGCAAGUAGCUUCAUUUCCACUAAAUCUGAGCAGCCUCUUAAUUGCUCUCUCCAGUUGGGCUGCAGUAUAUAUUACCACACUCCAUUACUAUUUAUGGAGCCUGAGAUUCAUAUUGCAAAUAUGAAGAUGACUGUGGUCAUUUCCUUCUACAUUCAUUCUCUCAUUUGUUCAUUUACAUAUUCAAUCACUCGAUGAAUUCUUUCUUUUUCUUUUUUUCUUUUUUUUGGAUAAACAAUUUACCUCAGAUAAAAUGGAUAAAAUUAGUAAGCUAUCUAGUUUUUAGUUCAGCACACCUGAUGGAAUUUAGAAAAUCAUGUUUAUCUUGUACAAGCUUUAAAUAUAUUUAUAUUGAAGGUGUUUUCAUACUAAAAAGCAUGCAGUGCAUUUAAUUUCUCUUCCCUGUGACUUUGUGGGACGGGUGAAGUGGAGAUCUCACACACACACAAGUAAAGUUGUAUAGUAAAACCUUGCGUUGCAUAUAAAGCUAUUGCGUGCAAGACAAUUUUACUUUUAUUCUCACAGACAAGAUAGUGGUAUAAACUAUAUGAUUUGAAGGCAGUGUUUGUGAAUGUGUGUGUGUGUGUUUGUAAAGGUAGAUAGAGUGUGUGUGUGGAGGGGGGGACACAGUGUUUUAUGUUCCCGCUCACUAACCAUCACUCUGCUCCUAAUUGAUAACUACUGGCAUUUGAUCAGGCGGUCUUCAAACAAGGAAUCUAUCUUUGUAUUAUGUAUAAGAAGACCAUCUGUUGUUGCAGAGCUCUACAUUCAUUAAAUUAAAUUUCUCAACUCAUGAAUAAGAUUUUAAUUGUCCAUUGUGAUUUUCCCCAUCAUCUCUCCAAGUUUUUUGUCCCCCCCCCCCAGGGUGGUAUCUGGAGGUUGUUGCGGAACAGAAUGGUGUUUGUUUGUUUACUAGUACAUGUUGAUGUGACCUGGCCAUUUUUUAAAGGUGAAACUGAAAAAGUGUAAAAUGUGUCUGUGUGUGUGUGUGUAUAUAUAUAUAUAUAUAUAUAUAUAUAAAAAUUGUGUGUAUUAUAUUUUUAAUGGUCUUGCAGAAAGUUAAAUGAAGCAAGUAAAAUGGGAACAUAAAAGUAGUGUAUAAUUAGGAAAUAAAAAUGAGCGUAUUUGGACACAUUUCUUGCAGGUUGUUAUUGGACAUUUUGAGCAGUGAAUCGUUUGGCAUUUGGUGUUCUGUGAGGAGCGACGGUGGGCAUGUGUUAACUACACACAGGACACUCGAGCGAAAACCAGACGCCCACCGAAUCCUUCAAUCUGUCAUUUCCUCUCGCAGCUCCCGAGCAAGAUAAAAAUAAAGCGAGCACAAAACACUUCUCUCUUAUUACUCUUUCAAAAUAAUGCUCUUCACACUUUAGUUCACUUCUUGGUAACCUUUACUUGGAAACAUGUUGCAGUAAGCAUAUUGUUUAGAAAAUAAGUAGGCCUAAUUUAUUUUUUAUUCGCCAUGGGUGUUCAGCGAAUGAUCCAUGAUCAGUAUCAAAAUUGAAGAAACGGUUGUAUUAGGAAUCUGGCUUGCCUGUAAAUAAUUAAUAUAUUUCUUGAACAAUUUCUUUUUAUUCUUUGGUCCCACUUUAUAUUAGGUGGCCUUAACUACUAUGUACUUACAUCAAAAAAGAAGUACAAUGUACUUAUUUGUGUUCAUACUGUAUUUCAAAACACUUUUGCUGCUAUUGAGGUGGUAUACGGGUAAGGUUAUGGACAGGUUUGGUGGUAUGGGUAGGUUUAAGGGUGGGUUAAGGUGUAAGGGAUGGGUCAACAUUGUAAUUAUAAAUGUAAUUAUGCAGGUAUUUUUAAAAUAUAAGUACAAUGUAAAAACAUGUUAUACACAAUAAGUGCAUUGUAUCAAAUUAUUAAUUUAAAUGUAAGUACAUAGUAAAGGCCACCUAAUAUAAAGUGGGUUUUAUAAUAAAACACCAACCAAAAAGUAUAACAAUUAUAAUACAGUGAUGAAACACUUUCAUUAAUGAAGAUAUUUUAGUUUAGUAUUACGAAAAUUAUAGAUUUGGCUUUAAAAAUCUUUUUCUUUCCCUUUGAGAUGUUCAUUAAAAUUAUGCUUAUAAACCAAAUCAAUGUUUAUGAUGUAUAUUAAUUAAUUUUUUUUCACUGUGGCAGGUGUAACAGCUGUUGGUCAUUAUAUGAACCGAGGAAAGAGAGAAAAAAAAAAAACAUUCCUGGUGCUUUUUUUCUAUAGAAGUGAGACUUCAUUUUCCCCCGUCCGACCUGUGUGAGAGAGAAGUAAACUGCUGGUUUAUAUUGGUUCAGGUGCUUACAUAGAAGGUUUUUGACACACGGUAGCCUGGGGUUUGAUUCGCAUGAUUCUUUGGGGUUUUCGUGAGACAAUGAUCGGUGCUGCUUGAUACAAGCAUUUUGCAUUAACAGUUAACUAUGCAUGAGUGUGAAACCCUUGUGGUUUCUGAGACCACUAUGAAUAAAGGAUACACAUCUUGCAAAAUUUAGCUUAAUAGAGUCGCCAAAAUGAAGUGGAGAGUUUUAGUAGUGAACUAUGACUCCAGAGACAGAAGGUGUACAACUUAAGACGAGUUUUGAUGUGAUGUGCGUAGUACGGAGAGGCGGCGUAUAAACGUACGAACACGGUUCUCGGAAUCAGAGAGCACUUCCUGUUAAGUACUUCUGAUAUACGAGAAUUUUAUGUGCACUCACCUGACCCUGCAAGAUUUCAGUUAACAGAUUUUCAUGGCAAUAGUGCAGCAAUAAUAGUGGAAACCAAUUUUCUAUGAGAAAUCUGAAUAAAGUUUUUUUUUUUUUUUAAUAUACCAACUUUUGAAGUAACUAUUUAUUGUCAAAGAACACGAUCAAUUUAUUUUCCUCUUAACCUCUUCCUUGUAUACUGUUGAAAUUAGUUAAAUGAGUGGAGAAUACAUGAGCUAUAAAUAUAUGCAUGCUAUAGAUUAUGGUUGAUUAUGGUUGCUGUUGUGCUGGUUUUUAUAAACUGAAGGAAAUGUCUUAAAUCCAUAAGUCAAGUGAUAUUCUCUUAAUAUAGAGAAACUGUUGUUAAAAUAGGUCAUUAAAACCAAUACUUGCUUUAUUUAUUUAUUAUGAAAUCGCUCAAAUUAAAUGCUUUUUUUUAAUAAAAUGUGUGAAAUAAACUGAGCUCAUUUUUAAAUUGUGAA